rnacentral:rRNA from 1 species
CAAUAGCGUAUAUUAAAGUUGUUGCGGUUAAAAAGCUCGUAGUUGGAGUUCUGCCAGGUGCCGCCUGUCCGCCCUAGUGGUGAGUACGUGGCGCGCAUUUGGCCCUUUCAAGGGGAGCGUAUCUGCACUUUAUUGUGUGGUGCGGGAUCCUUGACUUUUACUUUGAGGAAAUAGGAGUGUUCCAAGCAGGCUCUCGUCGUGCACAGCUCAGCAUGGAAUAAUAGCAUUGGACCUCGAUUCUAAGCUGUUGGUUGCCAGAAGCGAGGUAAUGAUGAAGAGGGAUAGUUGGGGGCAUUCGUAUUUAACUGUCGGAGGUGAAAUUCUUGGAUUUGUUAAAGACGGACUACUGCGAAAGCAUCUGCCAUGGAUGUUUUCAUUGA